rfam:Triticum aestivum genome assembly, contig: Triticum_aestivum_CS42_TGACv1_scaffold_130302_2BL
AUGCUACUGCCUCCGUCCGAAAAUACUUGUCAUCAAAAUGGAUAAAAAGAGAUGAAUGUAGAAAUAAAAUACGUCUAGAUACAUCCUCUUUUAUCUAUUUUGAUGACAAGUAUUUUCGGACGGAGGGAGUAUAUG